GACGAACGCUGGCGGCGUGCCUAACACAUGCAAGUCGAACGGAAAGGCCCUGCUUUUGUGGGGUGCUCGAGUGGCGAACGGGUGAGUAACACGUGAGUAACCUGCCCUUGACUUUGGGAUAACUUCAGGAAACUGGGGCUAAUAUCGGAUAGGAGCUCCUGCAGCAUGGUGGGGGUUGGAAAGUUUCGGCGGUUGGGGAUGGACUCGCGGCUUACCAGCUUGUUGGUGGGGUAGUGGCUUACCAAGGCUUUGACGGGUAGGCGGCCUGGGAGGGUGACCGGCGACAUUGGGACUGAGGUACGGCCCAGACUCCUACGGGAGGCAGCAGUGGGGAGUAUUACACAAUGGGCGGGAGCCUGAUGCAGCAGCGCCGCGUGCGGGAUGACGGCCUUCGGGUUGUGAACCGCUUUCGCCUGUGACGAAGCGUGAUUGACGGUAAUGGGUAAAGAAGCACCGGCUAACUACGUG
rnacentral:rRNA from 1 species